rnacentral:rRNA from 1 species
AAUAGAUACCCGGGUAGUCCACGCCGUAAACGAUGAGUGCUAAGUGUUGGGGGGUUUCCGCCCCUCAGUGCUGCAGCUAACGCAUUAAGCACUCCGCCUGGGGAGUACGGUCGCAAGACUGAAACUCAAAGGAAUUGACGGGGGCCCGCACAAGCGGUGGAGCAUGUGGUUUAAUUCGAAGCAACGCGAAGAACCUUACCAGGUCUUGACAUCCCGGUGACCACUAUGGAGACAUAGUUUCCCCUUCGGGGGCAACGGUGACAGGUGGUGCAUGGUUGUCGUCAGCUCGUGUCGUGAGAUGUUGGGUUAAGUCCCGCAACGAGCGCAACCCUUAUUCUUAGUUGCCAUCAUUCAGUUGGGCACUCUAAGGAGACUGCCGGUGAUAAACCGGAGGAAGGUGGGGAUGACGUCAAAUCAUCAUGCCCCUUAUGACCUGGGCUACACACGUGCUACAAUGGACGGUACAAACGGUUGCCAACCCGCGAGGGGGAGCUAAUCCGAUAAAACCGUUCUCAGUUCGGAUUGUAGGCUGCAACUCGCCUACAUGAAC